rnacentral:rRNA from 1 species
CCAGGUCUUGACAUCCCGAUGCUAUUUCUAGAGAUAGAAGUUACUUCGGUACAUCGGUGACAGGUGGUGCAUGGUUGUCGUCAGCUCGUGUCGUGAGAUGUUGGGUUAAGUCCCGCAACGAGCGCAACCCCUAUUGUUAGUUGCCAUCAUUCAGUUGGGCACUCUAGCGAGACUGCCGGUAAUAAACCGGAGGAAGGUGGGGAUGACGUCAAAUCAUCAUGCCCCUUAUGACCUGGGCUACACACGUGCUACAAUGGUUGGUACAACGAGUUGCGAGUCGGUGACGGCGAGCUAAUCUCUUAAAGCCAAUCUCAGUUCGGAUUGUAGGCUGCAACUCGCCUACAUGAAGUCGGAAUCGCUAGUAAUCGCGGAUCAGCACGCCGCGGUGAAUACGUUCCCGGGCCUU